rnacentral:rRNA from 1 species
AGCGAACGCUGGCGGCAGGCCUAACACAUGCAAGUCGAACGAACUCUUCGGAGUUAGUGGCGGACGGGUGAGUAACACGUGGGAACGUGCCUUUAGGUUCGGAAUAACUCAGGGAAACUUGUGCUAAUACCGAAUGUGCCCUUCGGGGGAAAGAUUUAUCGCCUUUAGAGCGGCCCGCGUCUGAUUAGCUAGUUGGUGAGGUAACGGCUCACCAAGGCGACGAUCAGUAGCUGGUCUGAGAGGAUGACCAGCCACACUGGGACUGAGACACGGCCCAGACUCCUACGGGAGGCAGCAGUGGGGAAUCUUGCGCAAUGGGCGAAAGCCUGACGCAGCCAUGCCGCGUGGAUGAUGAAGGUCUUAGGAUUGUAAAAUCCUUUCACCGGUGAAGAUAAUGACUGUAGCCGGAGAAGAAGCCCCGGCUAACUUCGUGCCAGCAGCCGCCGUAAGAC